rnacentral:rRNA from 1 species
AUUGAACGCUGGCGGCAGGCUUAACACAUGCAAGUCGAACGAGUGGCGGACGGGUGAGUAAUGCUUGGGAAUCUAGCUUAUGGAGGGGGAUAACUACGGGAAACUGUAGCUAAUACCGCGUACCAUAGGAUGAGCCCAAGUGGGAUUAGGUAGUUGGUGGGGUAAUGGCCUACCAAGCCGACGAUCUCUAGCUGGUCUGAGAGGAUGACCAGCCACACCGGGACUGAGACACGGCCCGGACUCCUACGGGAGGCAGCAGUGGGGAAUAUUGCGCAAUGGGGGCAACCCUGACGCAGCCAUGCCGCGUGAAUGAAGAAGGUCUUCGGGUUGUAAAGCACUUUCAGCGGGGAGGCGUUACCCGCAGAAGAAGCACCGGCUAACUCCGUGCCAGCAGCCGCGGUAAUAC